AUUUACAAAAUUACUAGUCUUUUGUCGUGCUUACUUUCUAAGCUGACCGUUGUUAGUGUAAUUUAUAUUUGGUUCUUCCUCAUGUAACAUCUUUUUCUAGUGUAUCUUCUGAUAAAUCUAUGUCAGUUUUUUUUGUGGAGAUUUAGAAUGAUUUUGACCACAUGGUUAUCCUAUCCAAUCUAGAUUGGUUGGCAAUUACCAAAUUUGACCAUUCAAUAUGGCUACAAUAUGCAGUUUAUUGAAAAUGGACUUGAGGGAGAUGCAGAUUCUGAUAGUGAAGAAGAUGAAAUGGAGGACACUGAUCAUGGUGUGGAAGUGGAACAUCUACACAUUUCAGAGGAGGAAACUUUGAAUGAUGAUGAAAAUGCAGAGCAUCAGAGGAACCAUGAAGCAUGUCAGAUUGAUGUAUCUGAGAAUGACUCAGAUUCAGAUAACCAAGAAGAAAAUGAAAACAGAAUCUCUGGGAAUGACUCAAGUGAAAUGGCAUUGUUCCUAACAAUCUAUAACCCUAUUACUUUUUUUAUUGCUCCAUUAAAUUGGUUUUAGAGUUUAAUUGCAAAGUUUGUUUUGCUUUAGCAAAUAUCACCAAUAUAAUUUGAGAAUUUAGUCCUUAAUUUAUGAACGUUAACUAUAGAAAAAAAGAAUUAAAAAGUUUCCUCUCUGUUCCUUGGCCAUCACUAAAAUUAGUACCUGUGAUAUAAUCCAAAGAAACUUUAGGGUUUUCUUAUAUCUACGUUGGCCUUAGAUAGCGCUGAAGAGAUUAAGCACAUAUCCUAUACAUUGAAGUAGAUGCGGUUGAAGAAUGAAACUGUGUUUGCGAUUCUCUUAUACUUCUUCGAUUUUGUGCCAGUGCCUACUGUGGUAAUACGAAAUGACGAUUGGACAUGGAAAAAUUUAUGUAAUUACUUGUAUGAAGAGAAGGCAUUUUAUAUUAUUCUGGCCAUUUUAUAUUAUUCUUUUAUCUCCUGGGCCUGGUUCGUCAACAUGUGGGCAUAAUCAAUGAGAAAAAUAUGGGGUUUUUACCAUUUUGUAAUCAAAAUUUAGUUCUUGUUGUUGUUGGACCAUUGUUCUUCAAUUUUAUUUGGUUUCCUUGAAUACUUUCAACUGCUUAUCCCUGUAUUUUUUCUGCUUAUUAAACUUUACUUUCAUUGGAACAUUUAAUCUUUCAGGAAUAUGUAUACAUCUACUCCACGAGUGCGAGAAUAUUCCCAUUUUAGGCGUUUUGUCUUGGGCAGGGCACCAGGUGGGAGAACACAUUGAUGAGGUGAACUUCUAGCGGGGAUCCCUAUGCCAAUGUAGAGGAUUCUGCACUGUCUUUUGAUAGUGAAGAAGUUGCAAAAGCAUUUGCUGAGAAACAUGGAUGGGAAUAUGUGGUAAUGCUUGUUUUAACUAUUUAAAAAGAUUUUUUUUCUUGUAAUACCUUUAUGUAGCUAGUUUGAGUUGUCAUAUCCUAGGUUAGUUAUUAGUAAUGUUGUUUUCCACUGUCAGUUUCCUUCAAAUAAUUAAUAUUUAUAAUCUGUUGUAUUGAUUAAUUGUGCUCAAAUUCUAAUAUAUUCUCGACUAUGAUCUUCGCUUGUAAUUAAUAUUUAUAAUCGGUUGUAUUGAUUAAUUGUGCUCAAAUUCUAAUAUAUUCUCGACUAUGAUCUUCGCUUGUGUACAAGGUUGAAAGUGGAACAAUGCAUUCUGAUUCUAAGUAAAUAACUCGAAAGAGCCAAAAAGACAGCCGUAAGAGCCAGGGGUUGAGGAAAUUGAUCCCCUCCCAUAAAACUAAUAUGGAAUAAAUAAAUAAUAUUAAAAUGAAAUUGACAUUGGAUAUGGUUGUUUAAUAUGAUUUCUGCUUUUGGGCUAUAACAUGGCGUUUGACUCUAAAUGUAAGAUCUUAUUUUUGAAGAUAGUGGAAAUUUAUUCAGUUAUAUAAUAUCCCAGUAUUAGUUUGAAGCUAGUCUUCAUAAGCUUCGAGAGGAGAAAUAUGAGGGGGAGAAGUUAGUUUUUCUUUCAUUAGGUAAGGGAAAUUUAUAUUUCUUACUUUAAAUGAUGAUGAUGUUGGAAACAAACACUACAUGAUAACGCUAUAAAGAGAGUAUGUUUCAUGGAAAUUUUUUCUAUAUAUAGAAGAGCUGCGGACUGGAUUAUCCAUGUUCAAAGUAAAAUAUUUGAUAACUUAAAGAUAAAUGUUAACUCUUGGAGUAGGGUUAUUGGACUUGGAUUGUGAUUUAAGGUGCCUUGAUGAUCUUGUUAUCAAGAGACAGAAGUUUUAGCCUUCAUAUGAAGGAUCAAAGCCAAAAGCAAAGUAUCAUUGGAAGAUGCCUCGAAAUUAGUUGAUGUUGGCUUGAAUACAGAUGAUUUCUUGACUUUUUCACCAUUUUUAUUCGAUUAUGGUCAUAUCACUUCAAUAAUGUGCUUACUAACUUGAUGCAGCUCUCAAGGACAAAUGAAGAAAAAGUGAAAGUAUGUAGACCAUUACUUAUCUACUCUUUCAAAACUGGAUGCCUUUUGUUUUAUCAAUGGAUUCUGUGUCCUUGUAUUUUCUUUCAAAACUAGAGUUAAAGGCUAUCUUAUAUUUUGUUCUAGUUGGUGUACUCAUGUUGUGCAAAUAAGGAUAUUGGCUAUUAAAAUGCAUUAAUUCAAGGGGUCCUUUGUGUGUUCUUGGAUUUUUUUAUGAUUCUUAAUUGUAGCUGUCCUAGCUAAGAUAUAGAAUAGCAUAGCAAAGAGUUUUUUUGGAGUUGAUCAUGGCUCAUAGGGGAGAAGUUAAAACGACUGUUACAACUGUUAUUGUAAGCUUAUCUUUCACCAUCCUUUUUGUUUUCUUUUGUUUUCUUUUUAGUUCAGGUAAAAAUUGAUUUCUUAUUUAGAGACUUCAACGUGCGAAGUAAUUGAAUAUGUUUAACAUUAACUUAUGCAAAGUGAUAUUUGUGUCUAAUGGAUGACAGAUAACAAGAGAGUUAUUUUGACAUUGUUUGUGGAAUUAUUGAAGUCAUAUCAGGUUGAAAGCUAAGCGAUUGUGUAGAUGGUCAGGCGAUCGUUGAAGGUUGAUGACUAUAAGAAGGCGUUUAGGAUUUCUUAUUUAGUCUUGUAUUAGGAUCUUUUUUUCAUGUAUUGUUGUAGAAUGUAUAUAUAAACAUAGUAUUCAGAUUUAAUUUUGUGUAUACAAAUG